CCUACGGGAGGCAGCAGUGAGGAAUAUUGGUCAAUGGCCGGAAGGCUGAACCAGCCAAGCCGCGUGAAGGACGAAGGUGCCAAGCAUUGUAAACUUCUUUUGUCAAGGGACAAAAUCAGGCUCGAGAGCCUGACCGAGGGUACUUGAAGAAAAAGCAUCGGCAAACUCCGUGCCAGCAGCCGCGGUAAUACGGAGGAUGCGAGCGUUAUCCGGAUUUAUUGGGUUAAACGGGUGCGUGGGCGGACGGUUAAGUCAGCGGUAAAAGCCCGGGGCUCAACCCCGGCGAGCCGUUGAAACUGGCUGUCUUGAGAUGUCGAGAGGGAUGCAGAAUGCGCAGUGUAGCGGUGAAAUGCGUAGAGAUUGCGAAGAACACCGGUGGCGAAGGCAGCAUACCGGCGGCGAUCUGACGCUGAGGCGCGAAAGCGUGGGGAUCGAACAGGAUUAGAUACCCGGGUAGUC
rnacentral:rRNA from 1 species